rnacentral:rRNA from 1 species
UACGGAAGGUAGCAGUGGGGAAUAUUGGACAAUGGGCGCAAGCCUGAUCCAGCCAUGCCGCGUGUGUGAAGAAGGCCUUCGGGUUGUAAAGCACUUUUGUCCGGAAAGAAAAGCUUAGGGUUAAUAACCUUGAGUCAUGACGGUACCGGAAGAGUAAGCACCGGCUAACUUCGUGCCAGCAGCCGCGGUAAUACGAAGGGUGCAAGCGUUACUCGGAAUUACUGGGCGUAAAGCGUGCGUAGGUGGUUUUGUUAAGUCUGAUGUGAAAGCCCUGGGCUCAACCCGGGAAUGGCAUUGGAAACUGGCUUACUAGAGUGCGGUAGAGGGGUGUGGAAUUCCCGGUGUAGCAGUGAAAUGCGUAGAUAUCGGGAGGAACAUCUGUGGCGAAGGCGACACCCUGGACCAGCACUGACACUGAGGCACGAAAGCGUGGGGAGCAAACAGGGAUUAGAUACC